GGCUUUCAAUGUAGAAGUCUGACGGAGCACGCCGCGUGAGCGAAGAAGGUCUUCGGAUCGUAAAGCUCUGUUGUCAGGGAAGAACAAGUACGAGAGUAACUGCUCGUACCUUGACGGUACCUGACCAGAAAGCCACGGCUAACUACGUGCCAGCAGCCGCGGUAAUAAA
rnacentral:rRNA from 1 species